rnacentral:rRNA from 1 species
UACGUAGGGGGCAAGCGUUAUCCGGAAUUACUGGGUGUAAAGGGAGCGUAGACGGUAAUGCAAGUCAGGCGUGAAAGCUAGGGGCUCAACCCCUAAACUGCGCUUGAAACUGUGGAGCUUGAGUGAAGUAGAGGCAGGCGGAAUUCCCGGUGUAGCGGUGAAAUGCGUAGAGAUCGGGAGGAACACCAGUGGCGAAGGCGGCCUGCUGGGCUUUAACUGACGCUCAGGCACGAAAGCAUGGGUAGCAAACAGG